CCACAUAUUUGUGUCAACCACCUUGCGUAUGGAAGUAUGGCGGCCCCAGCAGCCACCCGACGACGAGUACUCGGCAGAAAGUUCGCCGCAGCUCCCCGUAGGCUCACAUGAGAGGCGAUGAGUAGGCGUGCGCGACACGGCGGCUCGGCGACAGCAAAGCGGCCACCGGCGGUCUCCACGCGGGCACGACAGACGCCGUCGGCGGCGUCCGGCUGACGGAGGGGUCGCCUGGAUAUCGAUUUCGCUCUCCCAAGUGGAGUCCGACGGGGAUGGGGGUCGGGGCGGGGAGUCGCGGAAGUUUACCACUUAGUUCCCGGUGGCUGGAAUGAAGCAAAAGUGUUGAAUUUGGAGGUGUUUUUUUUUUUUUUUUUGAGAAAAGUGCUUUGGGUGAGGAGGAGGCGACGCUUCGCCGCCGACCAACUGUUGACUGCUCCGUGCGCCUUCAAAGCGGACCAGAGGCUAACGCUAGCUAGCCUCUAUGGCUAUCUGCACUUUUAGCUUAUGUUGCUCGGCUAAACUACUGGAUAUAAGUUCACAACAGCACAUUCCUCAAGCACCCCAAACCCAUUAAUGUGCGAUAAAAAGAGGCACCCUGGAGUAGCUCGGACCCGCAGAACAAAUCUGCGUCACACCAGGAGAGGACACCCCGACCCAGGGCGAAGGACUCCUCCCGUCUCCUCUGCUGCUCAGGUCCUCGCCCCUCCUCCUCCUCCCUGUCCUCUGGCCAGUUGUCGGACGACCGAGUCCGGCCCGGAGAAUCCCGGCUACGGCCUGGCACCCUGCCCUUAUGGGGCAGCAGCCGGGGAAAUUUGCCGGGGACCAGAGGAGACCCAGUCUGCCAGCCUUCAUCAAGGGUGUGAAGAGGGAGUCCACACGCCAUGGGACGCAGCCCUGCAAUGUCUUCGCUGUGCACGAAGCUCUUCAAAGACCAGACUUUGAGGGUCAAGGUCUGACCGAAGCGGCCCGGUGGAACUCCAAAGAGAACCUGUUGGCUGGACCCAGCGAAAAUGACCCCAACCUCUUCGUGGCGCUGUAUGACUUUGUGGCCAGUGGUGACAACACACUUAGCAUUACUAAAGGCGAGAAGCUCCGCGUGCUCGGCUACAACCACAACGGCGAGUGGUGCGAGGCGCAGACCAAAAAUGGCCAGGGCUGGGUGCCGUCCAACUACAUCACCCCCGUCAACAGCCUGGAGAAGCACAGCUGGUACCACGGGCCCGUCUCGCGCAACGCCGCCGAGUACCUGCUCAGCUCAGGGAUCAACGGCAGCUUCCUGGUGCGCGAGAGCGAGAGCAGUCCCGGCCAGAGGUCCAUUUCGCUGCGCUACGAGGGGAGAGUCUACCACUACAGGAUCAACACGGCGUCAGAUGGAAAACUGUACGUGUCGUCGGAGAGCCGCUUCAACACGCUGGCCGAGCUGGUGCACCACCACAGCACGGUGGCCGACGGCCUCAUCACCACGCUGCACUACCCGGCGCCCAAGCGCAACAAGCCCACCAUCUACGGCGUGUCCCCCAACUACGACAAGUGGGAGAUGGAGCGCACCGACAUCACCAUGAAGCACAAGCUGGGCGGGGGGCAGUACGGCGAAGUGUACGAAGGCGUGUGGAAGAAGUACAACCUCACCGUGGCCGUCAAGACGCUUAAGGAGGACACAAUGGAAGUGGAGGAGUUCCUCAAGGAGGCCGCUGUUAUGAAAGAGAUCAAACAUCCCAACCUGGUGCAGCUUUUGGGCGUGUGCACGCGGGAGCCCCCGUUCUACAUCAUCACCGAGUUCAUGACCCACGGCAACCUGCUGGACUAUCUGCGGGAGUGCAACCGAGAGGAGGUUAACGCCGUGGUGCUGCUCUACAUGGCCACGCAGAUCUCCUCCGCCAUGGAAUACCUGGAGAAGAAGAACUUUAUACACAGGGACCUCGCCGCCCGCAACUGCCUGGUGGGCGAGAACCACCUGGUAAAGGUGGCAGACUUCGGUCUAAGCCGGCUGAUGACGGGGGACACGUACACGGCCCACGCGGGGGCCAAGUUCCCCAUCAAGUGGACGGCUCCGGAGAGCCUGGCCUAUAACAAGUUCUCCAUCAAGUCGGACGUGUGGGCGUUUGGCGUGCUGCUGUGGGAGAUCGCCACCUACGGGAUGUCCCCGUAUCCCGGCAUCGACUUGUCCCAAGUGUACGAGCUGCUGGAGAAGGACUACCGCAUGGACCGGCCCGAGGGCUGCCCCGAGAAGGUCUACGAGCUCAUGAGGGCCUGUUGGAGGUGGAACCCUUUAGAACGUCCGUCUUUUGCAGAAACCCACCAGGCCUUCGAGACCAUGUUCCAGGAGUCCAGCAUCUCAGACGAGGUGGAAAAGGAGUUGGGCAAGAAAGGGAAGAAGGUGACAUUGGGCUCCAUUCAGCAGGCUCCAGAACUGCCCACCAAGACCAGAACGCUACGCAAAAAUAAGGACAACCGGGAUGGAGAUAGUCCAGACCCGACGGACCCCGAUUUGGCCCUGCCCUCCCCGAUGCUCCCCAGGAAAGAGCGCCCCCUCCUGGACGGCAAUUUGAACGAGGACGACCGGCUGCUCCCCAAGGACAAGGACAAAACGCGCGGCGGCUUUUUGAGCCUCAUCAAGAAGAAGAAGAAGAACGCUCCGGCGCCUCCCAAGCGCAGCUCCUCCUUCCGGGAGAUGGACGUCCACCCCGAUCGGCGGGGUGGGUGUCUGGACCCUCGGGACGGUGACUGCUUCAACAAUGGCGGAUCUUUGGCAAUCAAUGAGCCCGCACAUGUGCCUGAAUCCUCAAAAUUCCUGGCCACUAACAAUAACGGCACAAACGGAGCUCCCACCUAUCCGGGACCGUUGUUCCCGCGGAAGAAGGGUGCCCCUGCCGUGCCCGGACCCGCGGUCAAGGCUGCUGUCACCCCAACCGGUGAAGAGGAAGUCAUGACGAACUCUAAGCGCUUCUUCUGGUCCUCCAGCUUACCCGCCGGGCCGGACGGCACCCAGUGGAGGUCCGUCACCCUGCCGAGGGACUUGGGCCAGAGGCAUUUCGACUCGGGGACCUUCGGGGGAAAACCGGCACUCCCUCGCAAGAGAACCAGCGAGCAGAAAGGGGACACCGCCUCUCGUAUAGGCGCGUUGACUCCCCCACCGCGUCUGCCCAAGAAGGCGGAAGAGUCGCCAGAUGAGGGGCCAAAAGAGGCCGAGCCCAGUCCUGGAUCUAGUCCCCAGGCUUUAACCCCCAAGGUGGUCAAGCGGCCCGGGCUUCUGGAGAACUCUAAAACCAGUGCCCUGCAUGCAGAGCUUCUCAAGCCCAGCGUCUUCCCGGCACUGGGCGCUGCCGGAGACGAGUGUCGGGCCCGCCGCAACAAGCACACCCCUGAUGCCCGAGAGAAAGGUAAGUUCCAGAAAUCCAAACCGGCUCCUCCGCCGCCUCCCCCCGCCAACGCAAAAACGGGCAAGACGUCCCGCAGUCCCGCACAAGAUCUCCCGUCGCCUUCGUCAGAAAUCAAAGCUAAGGGGCUCCCGUCCGCCUCGGAGCCCCAACACGGAACCACUGCCGGUGAGGGGACCAAAAAGCUUCCCCCGAGCUGCAACUCCAAACCUCAACCGCUCAAGACCUCCGCCUCGGCGAGUGGCUCCCUUGGGAGCGACCCGCAGGGUGCGCCGGCCGCCUUCAUCCCCCUCGUCAACCCCCGCCGCUCCCUGCGCAAGACGGCACCGCGCCAGGCCUCGGACCGCACGCCCAACUCGGCCGUGACCCUGGAGAUGGUCUUGGAGGGCGCCGAGCGGCUCCGCGCCGCCAUCGGCCGCAACUCCGAGCAGACGGGGAGCCACAGCGCCGUCCUAGAAGCGGGCAAAAACCUGUCCAAGUACUGCGUCAGCUACGUGGACUCCAUCCAGCAGAUGCGGAACAAGUUCGCCUUCCGCGAGGCCAUCAACAAGCUGGAGAGCAGUCUGCGCGAGCUGCAGAUCUGCCCCACCGCCUCCGGGGGCGCCAACGCGCACCAGGACUUCACCAAGCUCCUGUCAUCGGUCAAGGAGAUCAGCGACAUCGUUCAGAGGUAGCGGACUACGUACAAAACUCAGACGAACUGAAAUGUGCCAACCGGUGACGCGGUACUAGUCCGAUUCCACCUGCGGUCUUUUGUGGAUGGACGCAAAGGAAUUUGGCCGAUUGUGGAGUUAGCGGAUAAGUCGUCAUGCUUGAAAUCUUUCCUCACAUGAUUCCAGGAAAAAAAAAAAAAGUGCCUGUUUAAAAAAAAAAAAAAAAAAAAGAAAAUGGUGUCUGACUCAGCUCACAGCAUCUGGAAUCCAUUUGGACCGGUCCAUCCCUCACGUCAGGGUUUCCCAAACUGAGGGACUGCACCCAAAAGUGGGUCGCACAACAGAUUUUUUUUUUUGUUUGUUUGUUUUGUUUGUUUUUAAUCGCAGUGUUUUUACGUUGGAAACAAUCUCACGGCACACCGCCAAGCAAAAAUGUCACCGAAUGUAUCAUACAUGGAGGGUGCAAAUAUAGGUAUGCAAUUGUAAGAUUUAUACAGAUUUUAUUUCUAUUUUUUACCCUCUUCCUUCACUAAUAGAUGUUUUCUGAUGCUCGCAUCUGUGUAAAUGUGAAACUGCAUGCGUGUGCAAAUGUGAAAACAUGAGACGCACGGUGAAGAAAAUAAGUAUUUGAACACCCUGUAUUGCAAGUUCUCGUAUUUAGAAAUCAUGGAGGGGUCUGAAAUGUUCACUGAAGAUGCAUAUCCGCUGUGAGAGAGAUAAUUUAAAAAAGAAAAAUCAAGAAAUCACAAUGUAUCAUUUUUUUUUAACAAUUUAUGCAAAUAAGUAUUUGAACACCUGAGAAAACCAAUGUUAAUAUUUGGUAUUGUAGCAUUUGUAUGCAAUUCCAGAGGUCAUGCAUGUAGCAUGAUGCUACCACGCCCAUGCUUCACAGUAGGGAUGGUGUUCUUGGGAUGGAACUCAUCAUUUAUCUUCCUCCAAACACAGUUUGUGGAAUUAUGUCCAAAAAGUUCAAUUUUGGUCUCAUCUUGACCACAAAACUUUCUCCCGUGACUCCUCUUUUUGGAUUCUCUCUCUCACAGUGGGCAUGCAACUACAAUGAACAUUUCAGACCCCUCCAUGAUUUAUUAGUGGGAGAACUUGCAAUAUAGCGGGGUGUUCAAAUACUUAUUUUCUUUGCCGUAUGACUAAGAAGUUGUUAGAAAUUUCUGUAAGUGAGUAAGAGGUUUGUUUGCCUGAGGGUAAAAAAAAAAAAAAAAAAAAAAGAGAUGUCCGAGUGAGUGUUUGUAUGUCCUAAAUUUGUGCAUAGACUAGUAGACUGGUCAUCCGCAUGUUACCCAUAUUGCUGAUGGGUUUUGGUUUCAUCCAGUUCCUCUCUGGGGGUGUCUGUAAAUUAAUUUUGGUCUAGUAUGAUUUAGCCACUUGCAUAUCAAGGAAAUGAGUACAAAAGGUCCAAAAAACACGUCAGUACAGUAUAGCUCUUCCAAGCGUACACCUACUUUUGCACCCUGCAUAUACUUGAAAUAAAUCAUAAUUUAUGGCGCAUUUACGAGACAAAACGUGGGGCACAAGCGGUUGGGGAUGUAUGUCAGUGUUAUGGCAAGAUGUGUGAUGCGUUUUGAAGAGUCGGGGUCCCCUGGAGGAACUAAGGGGGUCUCCAAAAUGGUUGGGAAACCCUGACUCACAGUGACAAAAAUUCAAAGGAUUUCCUUCUGUGUUGCUGUUUUCUAUGUUUUUUUUUUCCCGCCACCUUGCCAUACGACAGCCAAGUAAGUCCAGUUUGUAACCUUUGAUACUUUUGUGCCUUAAAGACAUUUUUUUUUAUGGCCAUACCAAAAUAAAAAAAAAUGGAAAAAAAUGCCCUUUUCCUCAGUUUGUACUGAGGGACUCGGCGGACUCUUGAGCAGAACUUGACAGCAGUUCAUUAAAAGCCAUCAGUAGCAGGUCCAACACGUCGCAGACUCAAAAGUGUUUCUCGGUGGUUUGUGUCUCUUGAGAGUACGUUUUUAAGUGUGUCAGACAUUUGUGUUCGCAUGUACAUACAGUGAAGAAAAUAAGUAUUUGAACACCCUGCUAUAUCGCAAGUUCUUCCACUUAGGAAUCAUGGAGGGGUCUGAAUAUUUCAUCGUAGAUGCAUGUCCACUGUGAGAGAUCAUCUGAAAAGAAAAAUCCAGAAAUCACAAUGUUGAUAAUACACUAAGACGUCAUGGUUUGAAAUCACGAGUGGCAUGGAAGGUUCCCCUGCUUAAACCAGCACAUGUCAAGGCCCGUCUUAAAGUUUGCCAAUGACCAUUUGGGUAAUACCGAGGAGUCGUGGGAGAAGGUUUUGUGGUCAGAUGAGACCAAAAUGGAACUUUUUGGUCGUGAUUCCACUAACCGGUUUUGGAGGAAGUUCCAUCCCAAGAACACCAUCCCUACUGUGAAGCAUGGGGGUGGUAGCGUCAUGCUUUGGGAAUCUUUUUCCUGCACAAGGGACAGGACGACUGCGCUGUAUUAAGGAGAGGAUGACGGCGGCCAUGCAUUGGGAGAUUUUUUUGGAAAAACCUCUUUCCCUCAGUCAGAGCAUUGAAGAUGGGUCGUGGCAACAUGACAAUGACCCGAGCACACAGCCAGGAAAACCAAGGAGUGGCUCCAAAAAAAACCACAAGCAAGGUUCUGGCGUGGCCUAACCAGUCUUCAGACCUAAACCCAAUAGAUAAUCUUUAGAGGGAGCUAAAACUCCGUGUUUUUCAGCGACAGGCCAGAAAUCUGUCUGAUCUAGAGAAGAUGCAGAGGAGUUGGCCAAAAUCCCUCCUGCAGUGUGCGAAAACCUGGUGAACAACUACAGGAAAUGUUGGACCUCCGUAAUUACAAACAAAGGCUACUGUACCGAAUAUCAACGUUGGUUUUCUUUGGUGUUCAAAUACUUCUUUUACUUUGAAGAAUGCUCGAGAGACUGCGUGUGGGAUUGUGAAGUGUGAGGAGUGGACUACACAAUGCUGGGUUCCUGGACUUUGGUACGGCGCUACAGUCCCGCGUUCUUUCGUCUAUUGUGCGUACUGCUAUUUGGCUACAAGUCAAGUAAAAGCUUGUAAAUAUGUUUUAAAUAUCUUCUUCAACCUCAAAAGUGCAAAUUUGGUUGCAAUAAAAGGACAAACGGAACAGUAAAUGUAAAAUUUACACUCAAUGUUUGUGUAAAAAAAAAAAAAAGUUUAUAUGGAGGUUUCCCCAAAUCUGCAUGUGUAAGAAGUGUGUGUGUGUGUUGUAUAAGCAGGGAUGAGAAUUCCGAUUUUUCUCAGCUGAAAAUGUCAUUGUUGUGAAACGUAUAGAUUCGUUGAAAAAAUAAUAUUUUUUUGGGCUGGGUUUGAGGCCAGCAUCUAUCCGCAACGCUCGUCGUAAAAUUAGUCACAGCUGUGAUAGCGGAAAACGGCACAGCUACCGGUUUACGGCAUUGCUAUCCGUUUGCGUUAAAUCUGGUGUUUAUAAUAACGACAACAUUCCGAUUUCCGGCAGCAUUUUGGCGGUAAUUCCGUCCGUAUUUUCACUCUGAUGCUAACAUUUCAUAGAGAAGCUUUCCGUUUACUUCGGCAAAGAAAUAACUUAGACAUAUGUAAAGGGAAAUUGAUUAAAAAAAAAAACCACGGGGGUGAAAAAACUGUUUCAGAUGGGCACGGCUUGAAAAAUGUGUUACCGUGGCAGAUGGGAACGAAAACGGUGUCAACAUGUCUAAACGAACACACGAAAAAAUGGACGUUCCAGGCAAAGUGCUGUGCGCUCUUGUGUUCCGAUACGAUCAAUUAUGGAAGACGAGGAGCAAAAAAAAAAAAAAUAUCGAGGAGCGUAUACAAAUCAGGAAACGCAAAGGCCCGGGGUUUUUUGUCCGGUCAAGAUCCCGGCGUGGCGACGGAGUGCAACGUAGAGGCUGGCGCAAGAGGGGCCGCAUUCGCACCAUUUUCACCAGUGACCACGUCACAAACGAGAGAAUAUUUCGCAUUAGCUACUCAGCUAAUUGCUAUUUAGCUCUCUAUGCCACCAACGUAUUGUGUAUUUGUUCUAAAUAAAAGUUUAAAAGGGCCGCCACACAAUUCUGUGUGGAGUUUGCAUGUUCUACCCGUGCCUGCGUGGGUUUUCUCCCACAUCCCAAAAACAUGCGACAUUAAUUGGACGGUCUAAAUUGCCCGUAGGUGUGAUUUGUGGGUGUGGCUGUUUGUCUUGAUGUGCCCUGCGAUUGGCUGGGAACCAGUUCACGGUGUACCCUGCCUCCUUCCCGUUGACAACUGGGAUAGGCUCCAGCACGCCCCGCGACCCUUGUGAGGAUAAGCGGCGCAGAAAAUGGAUGGAUGGGUAAAUGUUUAAAAGAUUACAGGGGCUGCCAUUUUGAGUUCUUUUCACUGUCACAUGAGUGACAAAUCACAAGAAUGUGACAUCUUCUCCAAUUUCC